UACGAAGGGGGCUAGCGUUGCUCGGAAUCACUGGGCGUAAAGCGCACGUAGGCGGCUUGUUAAGUCAGGGGUGAAAUCCUGGAGCUCAACUCCAGAACUGCCUUUGAUACUGGCGAGCUUGAGUUCGGGAGAGGUGAGUGGAACUGCGAGUGUAGAGGUGAAAUUCGUAGAUAUUCGCAAGAACACCAGUGGCGAAGGCGGCUCACUGGCCCGAUACUGACGCUGAGGUGCGAAAGCG
rnacentral:rRNA from 1 species